AUUUACAAGCAUGGAAUCAGAUACGCUGCCAUUCUCUUCAUAUUGUUUGAUGCAGUAAGUCACAGCUAGAACAGCCCAGGACAUCAUACCAAAUCGGCAGUUUGUGAAAACCUUAAUAUCAAAGUUUUUACCAAUACGAGGAUACAACUCCAUUCCCCAAUAGAAAUCGAUUAUUAUGUUCCCAGAUGAUCCAGAAUCAGAAGAUGAAGGUGCCACAUGACCUUUUAUGUAUAGGAAAAUGCAAAACACAAAGCUCUCCACAAUAAGUGCUGCAAAAAUUUCUCCCAGGUGGUCAUAUACGAUUGCAGGGUCAAAUAUUCCAAACCACCAAAGGCUG
rnacentral:misc_RNA from 1 species